rnacentral:rRNA from 1 species
GAUGAACGCUGGCUACAGGCUUAACACAUGCAAGUCGAGGGGAAACGACGGGGAAGCUUGCUUCCCCGGGCGUCGACCGGCGCACGGGUGAGUAACGCGUAUCCAACCUGCCUCUGACUGAGGGAUAACCCGUCGAAAGUCGGCCUAAUACCUCAUGGCAUCGUCUGCGGGCAUCCAACGACGAUUAAAGAUUUCUUCGGUCAGGGAUGGGGAUGCGUCUGAUUAGCUUGUUGGCGGGGUAACGGCCCACCAAGGCUACGAUCAGUAGGGGUUCUGAGAGGAAGGUCCCCCACAAUGGAUCUAAGACACAGUCCAAACUCCUACGGGAGGCAGCAGUGAGGAAUAUUGGUCAAUGGGCGGGAGCAUGAACCAGCCAAGUGGCGUGCAGGAAGACGGCGCUAUGAGUUGUAAACUGCUUUUAUGCGGGGAUAAAGUGAGAGACGUGUCCUUCAUUGCAGGUACCGUAUGAAUAAGGACCGGCUAAUUCCGUG